GAUGAAGAACGUAGCGAAAUGCGAUAAGUAAUGUGAAUUGCAGAAUUCAGUGAAUCAUCGAAUCUUUGAACGCACCUUGCGCUCCUUGGCAUUCCGAGGAGCAUGCCUGUUUGAGUGUCAUUAAAUUCUCAAGACCUGUCUGCUUUUUUGAUAGGUAUUGGAUUUUGGGGGUUGCAGGCUGUUUCAAAUAAAUAGCCUUGCUCUCCUUGAAUGUAUUAGUGGAGAAAAGCCAUUGAACUCCAUUGGUGUGAUAAAACCUAUCAAUGCCAGGAGCAAUAUUACUACUUCUCUCUGCUGUCUAACUGUGACUGUCUGUAUUAAUUAGUAUGGAUGGGGACAACUUGACCAACUUGACCUCAAAUCAGGUAGGACUACCCGCUGAACUUAAGCAUAUCAAUAAGCGAAGGA
rnacentral:misc_RNA from 1 species